CCUACGGGAGGCAGCAGUGAGGAAUAUUGGUCAAUGGGCGCGAGCCUGAACCAGUCAAGUCGCGUGAAGGAUGACGGUCCUAUGGGUUGUAAACUUCUUUUGUAGGGGAGUAAACUACGACACGUGUGCCGUUCCGAGUGUACCCUAUGAAUAAGCAUCGGCUAACUCCGUGCCAGCAGCCGCGGUAAUACGGAGGAUCCGAGCGUUAUCCGGAUUUAUUGGGUUUAAAGGGUGCGGAGGGGGGAUGUUAAGUCAGUGGGGAAAUUUGGGGGCUCAACCUUAAAAGUGCCUUUGAUACUGGUAGUCUGGAGGGAGGGUGAGGUAGGCGGAAUGCGUGGUGGAGCGGUGAAAUGCUUAGAUAUCACGCAGAACUCCGAUUGCGAAGGCAGCUUAC
rnacentral:rRNA from 1 species